GCCUACGGGGGGCAGCAGUAGGGAAUUUUCGUCAAUGGGCGCAAGCCUGAACGAGCAAUGCCGCGUGAACGAGGAAGGUCUUCGGAUCGUAAAGUUCUGUUGAAGGGGAAAAAGAGCGGAGAGAGGAAAUGGUCUCCGAUUGAUAUUACCCUUCGAGGAAGUCACGGCUAACUACGUGCCAGCAGCCGCGGUAAUACGUAGGUGGCGAGCGUUAUCCGGAAUGAUUAGGCGUAAAGGGUGCGUAGGCGGCCUGCUAAGUCUGGAGUGAAAGGUACCGGCUCAACCGGUACAGGCUCUGGAAACUG
rnacentral:rRNA from 1 species